rnacentral:rRNA from 1 species
CACGUAGGGCGCAAGCGUUGUCCGGAAUUAUUGGGCGUAAAGAGCUCGUAGGCGGUCUGUUGCGUCUGCUGUGAAAACCCGGGGCUUAACCCCUGGCUUGCAGUGGAUACGGACAGACUAGAGGUAGGUAGGGGAGAAUGGAAUUCCCGGUGUAGCGGUGAAAUGCGCAGAUAUCGGGAAGGAACACCGGUGGCGAAGGCGGUUCUCUGGGCCUUACCUGACGCUGAGGAGCGAA